UCAGAUUGCAGGCUGAAACUCGCCUGUAUGAAGUCGGAAUUGCUAGUAAUCGCGGAUCAGCAUGCCGCGGUGAAUACGUUCCCGGGCCUUGUACACACCGCCCGUCACACCAUGAGAGUUGGCAACACCCGAAGUCAGUAGCCUAACCGCAAGGGGGGCGCUGCCGAAGGUGGGGUUGAUGAUUGGGGUGAAGUCGUAACAAGGUAUC
rnacentral:rRNA from 1 species